GACGAACGCUGGCGGCGUGCUUAACACAUGCAAGUCGAACGGAAAGGCCCUGCUUUUGUGGGGUGCUCGAGUGGCGAACGGGUGAGUAACACGUGAGUAACCUGCCCUUGACUUUGGGAUAACUUCAGGAAACUGGGGCUAAUACCGGAUAGGAUCUCCUGCUGCAUGGUGGGGGUUGGAAAGUUUCGGCGGUUGGGGAUGGACUCGCGGCUUAUCAGCUUGUUGGUGGGGUAGUGGCUUACCAAGGCUUUGACGGGUAGCCCGCCUGAGAGGGUGACCGGCGACAUUGGGACUGAGAUAGGGCGCAGACUGCUACGGGAGGCAGCAGUGGGGAAUAUUGCACAGUGGGCGGAAGCCUGAUGCAGCAGCGCCGGGUGCGGGAUGACGGCCUUCGGGUUGUAAACAGCUUUCGCCUGUGACGAAGCGGGAGUGACGGUAAUGAGUAAAGAAGCACCGGCUAACUACGUG
rnacentral:rRNA from 1 species